UACGUAGGUGGCAAGCGUUGUCCGGAAUUAUUGGGCGUAAAGCGCGCGCAGGCGGUCCUUUAAGUCUGAUGUGAAAGCCCACGGCUCAACCGUGGAGGGUCAUUGGAAACUGGAGGACUUGAGUACUGAAGAGGAAAGUGGAAUUCCACGUGUAGCGGUGAAAUGCGUAGAGAUGUGGAGGAACACCAGUGGCGAAGGCGACUUUCUGGUCAGUAACUGACGCUGAGGCGCGAAAGCGUGGGGAGCAAACAGG
rnacentral:rRNA from 1 species